GAUCCUGGCUCAGGACGAACGCUGGCGGCGUGCUUAACACAUGCAAGUCGAACGCUGAAGCCCAGCUUGCUGGGUGGAUGAGUGGCGAACGGGUGAGUAACACGUGAGUAACCUGCCCCCUUCUUUGGGAUAACGCCCGGAAACGGGUGCUAAUACUGGAUAUUCACUUGCCUUCGCAUGGGGGUUGGUGGAAAGGGUUUUUUCUGGUGGGGGAUGGGCUCGCGGCCUAUCAGCUUGUUGGUGGGGUGAUGG
rnacentral:rRNA from 1 species